rnacentral:lncRNA from 1 species
UGACAUUAGGAGAUUAUGUCCCCUCCCUCACACACUCAUACAUCCUUUCCAAAUUUCCUAUUGAUUACUUCCCCAGAGUGAAAGAGGCAGGAAACAGGAAUAUCCUCUCAUGGAUGUGGUUGCCAUCUUGACUGGUGUGGUUAGCACUAAAUCCAUUAGCAUUAAUACUCCCCAUAAGAAGCUUUGGAUAAGUAGCUUUAAAACUCUGGAUGAUCAACAAAGAAAUAGAUUUUCUUGGGGGAGGGUGAAUAUGUUAGAAAAGAAGACAGGAAGGAGGCAGAUGCGCUGAGUCACAGUAGACAAAACUGAUCCUGAAAAAAAUAUGGGAAUCCAAGGCUAAUUGAAGUAAUUACCAGGGUUUGUGAGCCCCUGCCUUCCUAUUGGUGCAACUUUCUUUCUUCCACCCUCCCUGCCCCUCUUAGACUCACUCGGUAUGUGAGUUGCCAUUGAAGCUUGAUAGGCCAUGUCUGAACCAGGUGCCGUGAAUGUACCCAAGGUUAUAUUACCUAGAUUCUUAGCUUGUCACAGUGGUCCCCCAAGAAGAAAUCAGUGUGGAUCCUAUAAAGCAGUGCUUCUCAAACCUUACUGUGUAUAACAGUGACCUUAGAAAUCUUGUUAAAAUGCACAUUCUGAUUCUAGAAGUUUGGAAUGGGACCAGAGAUUCAGUCUUUCAGAGAUGCCUCUGCUCUUUGUUCUGGGGCCACACACUGAGGAGCAACAUCCUACAACACUGGUUCUUAAAUCUCUAUGCAGCUGAAGGUUUCCUACAAUGCUUUUUAUAAAUGACCAACACUCCUUCCCAGAUCAAUGAAAUCAGAAUGGGGAGAGGGGGGUGAGGUGAGUGGAACAGGUAAUAAAACUUUGUAAAAGUUACCUAGGUGACUAAAAUGUGCUGCUAUGUUUGAGACCCACCAAUCCAUCCUAAUCCUAGUGAAAUCAAAUGACCCUCACUUAUCUCUCUGUUCUGUUCCACCAGCUGCCAAGUCUUAAGUCUUCACAACCAGCGAUAAAAACCCUCUUCCCACUCUCUGGUGCUGUCAGCUCGACAUCCUACUUUUCACUCCCUUUUACAUCAUUCCUCUCCUGCUACCUGCUUUUCAGUUGUGGAAGAGCAGAAAGAAGAAAGUAUCUAAAAUUGGACACUUGUCCGUGAUCAGAAUAUAAAGAAAACUAAGCACUACAGGACUCUAUUGUCAAGUACAAGCCACGCUGAUGCUUAGAUGACAUCCCACUCUUUCGCAGGAGACCCUGUGGUGUGGCUCAGAGAUAACAGUCUUUUCAGGGAUAUUCUUAUUAAGACAUUUUGCAUUUAUGUGACACUUUUUUAUCUUCAAAGGAAGAUAUUACAAAAAUUUAUUUACAAUACCCUAUAAAAAUGGGCCAUUAUUUUUUUCACUAUGUAGAUCAGACAAAUUAUGAAAAGUGAAAAAUUCGCCUUGGGCCAUAAAUAAAACAGUAAAAUAAG